rnacentral:lncRNA from 1 species
AGAUGGGGUUCUGUGACUUCACGUCUGGGAGGAAUGUGACUGCUUGGAUUCAGGCUGUGUGAUGCAGAGACAUGUGAUAUGAAUGGGACUCAGAGUUUGACCUGGUUCCCUGGCUGAGACAAGAGAGGGAGACACUGAGGAGGUCCACUUCAAGUCUUCGCAGCAGAGCCACCAAAGCCCAAGGCAGACUGGGGACAGAGUCUUCAGUUUGGUCUUCAUCACGCAGGGAACAGUUACACAAUGGGAAAGGUGACUCCGUGUGAGAAGAGAGUCCAGAGAAACCAGGUUGUUUUUGGUCACGGUGUUCCCAGGAAAAGAAUCCUAACCAAGACAGCAGACUUUAUAUCGUUCUAGGCAUCGGUAGAAGGUGACCAGACAAAUGGACACCCG